GUCAUUGAGAACAUCUUUGUUACUGGCACUGUCUAUGUAGUAUUCUGAGCAGAGUUUUGCUGUUUCCAAGUGCUAAAGUUUCUUCCUGCAGAGAGAUGGCCACCACAGACUAGCUGCCAGAAGAAUUUCCCCCAGAUCUGGAAAGCUUCUAUUGUUGCUUACCUUGAAUAUUCACAUCCAGAGAGGUAAUUCAUCCAAGGUGCAGUUUUCCAAUAACUUUAUAACGAGUCUUAUUCGUUGCCCAGGCUGGAGUGCAGUGGCAUGGUCUUGGCUCACUCAAUCUCUGCCUCCUGGGUUCAAGCAAUUCUCCUGCCUCAACCUCAUGAAAAAAUGAAAAUUCCCUACUUCUCAGCCUCCUGUGCAGUGAAGAGAUAUAAAAGAUUCUGGCCAACGAUGCAAAGCACUUCCUUUGGCAAAUGGAAAGUCAGUGUGGUGUUCCAGUGCAAUGUCAGGAUCUGCUGCAUCCAUUUUCUACCAUGUGGUAAGGCAGCCUGAGUAGGCAGUUGGCACACUGAGGAAAGCAGAUCCCACAGUAUUGCAGAGUGCCAGCCUCCUGACUUGUCUGCACUUGAAACCUGUCUAUUAACUUCUUGUUAUUGUUUAAUUACUUCAACUAAGCUGCAGUUUUACUGAUACACUGUUCUAGUGCGGCCUCUAACUUUCAGUGGAAAACCUCAUGUGCAGGACAUCUUCCAUCUGCUCCUCCAGAUCUGUUCCACUCAUUUGCUCCCUGUUCUUAUAUCAUGAAAUAAAAAUGGUAUUGACUCCA
rnacentral:lncRNA from 13 species